AUGGAGGCUACUGGAGGCUCCUUGCAGAAAAGGGGCCGAGCUUUGCACGCCAGCUGCAUCGCUCCUCUGCGGCGAUGCGGCAYGCACCAUUUUCAGGCUGGGCAGGGCAGCUCGGCACAGCCCAGCGGGAUGGCGGGAGCUGGGACUGCUCCAUUUGACACAGUGCAUGAGCCCUGGGCACACACACCACUGUCACACCCUGGUCCUGCCCUCCCAAGCAUCCACCCAGCAUCGCAAAUGCAUCCUGCACCCCACGCACAUGUGCCUCAGUCACCAGGGGUCCUACACUGCCUUCCUACACCCUCCGUAGUCCUUCUGCACCACUGCCCUGCAUCUAGCCUGCCUGGGAACAGRGCUAGGCUCCCUCCAUGCUGCCCCUCACCUGGCAGAGGGGUCUCGGGGACAGCCCUGCACAUCCCACACUUGGGGAUGGGCAUUUCAGGGAGGACCAGCAUGCAGGACCUCCGUGAAGGAGGCAGAGAUGUUCCCAGCACCAUCCAGGAUGUAUCAUCCUGGGUGCCCAGGGCAGUCGCAUCCUCCCCUGCUGCGCUCAAUCACCAUGCAAACAAGCAGGAGGCCCCAAACAGGGCUGCAACAGGGCAGCUGGGUUGCCAGGCAUCUGCCAGGCGGUGCUGGCACCAGGGCAGACGGCAAUGGGACCCCCGAAACCCCCCAAACCCCAAAGGCUUCAGCCCUGGCUGCCUUGGGGAGAGCGGGAUCAUGCAUUUGCACCUCCUGGACCAGGGCAUUCGGCUGCAGCGCUGCGGACCCACAUGCUGGGGCCCUGAGGACGCACCGGCUUCCCUCCAGCCUCCUGCCCCAGGCAGCACAGCCUGCCCCACCACCAGCACGGCCGCAGCGCCGUACGCACCCACGGGCUGGCCAGGCAGGGCUGGCGCUCCUCCRCGCCGUUGCUUUUCCAGGAACACUGCACUCAGCCACAGGCCUGCCAGGUCAGGAUGCUCCCUGGAGAGGCACUUAGAGCUCUCCCAGCCUCCCAGCACAGUCCUCCUCCACCUCCUCCCCCUUUCCCUGGUCCUCUGGGGCCAGGACUUGUCUGCGGAGAUGCUUGUCUCUGGCCAAGUUUAUGGCUCACCUCCCCCUUCUCCAGCCCCCUCCCCGCACGUGCAUCCCGGCACCUCUCCACCCGGGUCAGCAGGCCGAAUAAAGCAGCACGUCGCUCCCCCUGAAGGGAAGCAUCCUGGGGUAAAGAUUCAGCAAAGUGAGGCGCCCGGGGCCAGAGGCUCCCUGCAAGGCUCCCUGCAAGGCUCCCAUGGUGAACAGAGCAAGGCAGGACAGGACUGA
rnacentral:lncRNA from 1 species